AGUACAUGGGGGUGUGGAGAACCCGCUCAUCAUCCUGCUCAUCAGGCUGGACCCUUGCCUCCACACCCCCAUGUACUUCUUUCUCAGCCACGUGGCCCUCACAGACAUCUCCUUUUCCUCUGUCACUUUCCCUAAGAUGCUGAUGAACAUGCAGACUCAGGAUCAAUCCAUUACCUUGCAGGAUGUGUAAUACAGACGUGUUUUUUCAUAUUUUUUGCUUGCAUUGAUAACAGUAGGUCUUAAAACAAAUGCAGGCAGUUACUCUUUUCCUCCACAAGAAAGUGAGAGACCCUUGUGUGGAAUCCAAAAUUGCAGUUUUAGUGUGUCUGGUAUUUCCUAUGCCACUCCUUCCCCAGGCACUUGACCCUCCUGCCAGGAACAGGCAUCUCACUGAAAGCUGCUGGGCCAGACUUAGCCCAGGAUCUCACAGAUAUCCUGCAGGAGAACCAAAGCUCCUAAUGACACCCAAGAGCUGCAAUAGGAACAGAGGGUAACAAUACAGAUGUGGUACUUUGAUUCCAUCAGCAGCACUGUGUGCAAAGAUGUGGCCAGAUAAUUGCUCAGUAGUGAAUAGGAGACAGAGUGUGACUUAGACGUGUUGUGUUGAGAGAGACACUAUGGAUGGGCAUGAUUUUUCUGUCUUAAUACCAAAUAUUGUCCCCUGCACUAUAGGAAAUGGAGAGUCAAGUGGUAGAGUCUCCACAAGGCUAAAAUUUGCUAAAUGUUUCAAUGUGCCUCACUUCUUAAGCACCUUACUGACAAGAUCUGCAAGCGACUAGCAUAAUCCCAUGUAAAAGCACUGCAUGCUGAGAAUCACCAUGGCCAAAGCCAAGGCCACCAAUUCAUUAAGUUGGGAAAAGAUAAAGAUCUGAUUGUCCACAUAUAUAAUCCCAGAAAUGAGGAUUUUAUUUCUAAACUGUUUGAUCCAGCUACACACACUGAAAUGUCAAGCAUCCUAGACCAGAACUGUUGUCAUCACAAGAAGUCAUUCAUAUUUGAAUCGCAAGCAGGGCACUAGGUCUUAGAGCACACAAGCAGCAGAUGCAAGUAGAAUACACAAACACUUAGGAAAUGUCCAGGCUUCUCUAACCUCUGUAUAUCCUAGUGUGUGCCAUUCAGUGUGUUCGUCAGUUACACAUACACACAUAGACUCAUACAUCAGAGAUACACAAAUACACAUAACUUCUCUGAUGGUCACACACACUUACACAUAGACACACAUGCAUGACUAGGGAGGUUUCUGGACUCCUUCUGAACUAUACCUGUGCUCAGAGUUCAAAUACCUUCUGCUUCAUUCUGUUACCUGAAUCCUCACUUUUUUUUCCAGAAGACCCAGAAUCCAAAGAAAAAGAGCAAACCUUGGUGACCUGAGGACCUGUACAGACACUCAUGCUGGUUCUCCAGCUUCAAAAUGAUGCACAAGAUCUCCUUUUCUACAUCCUAAAGAGACCUUGGAGGGAAACCAUCCCAAGUCCCUGACUAGAGAAGUUCACUGGGGCAACUGCCCAACUUCCUCCUGGCCCCUUGGAACAGAGGAUGAUUAGGGUCCACAGGAGCUGAGCUGCACCUUAUUUCACAGGAGAAAGUGUCAAUGAUAUGAGUAGUACUUUGGGCUUCUAGUCGAGUAUCUGAUAAGAAGCAGGAGUUUCUGCAUUGGCUGGGACCUCUGCAUCAUGAUCACAGGUUCUCCCAAGCGUGGUGUAUGGCACAGGCAGUGGAAGGGCUUCUGCCCCCAACACUGACACAAACUUUCAUUAGAACACAAAGCCCCUUAAAAUGUGCAUGUCUCCCCACUCCCCUGGAAGGUUUUGUAUGUAGGUCCAUGCCUUGUUCAGGAGGAGGGAGAUUGAAUAUAAAACUGGAAAAAAGAGUCUGGGUACAUCCCCUUCCAAGAGAGCAUACUUGAGCAAAUUAUCAAAACCACUGAGACUCAGUUACUUCAAAGUGGAAAUAAUGAUCACAGUCUUUGUGUGAGUUGGGAUAUUGGUUAAAGGAACACCUAAUGAAAGUUUUUUAAAUGUUAAGGCUUAUUGUCAAUUUCUUUGUAUCACUACAGAUCAGCUAUGGCUCCCAACAGGCAAUUGCGACUGGUAACUGUUGAAUGAUUUCAUCUGUUCAUUCAUUCACUCACUCCUUUAAAUAAUCAUUCAGGUUCCCACAAAUGUAAUACUGAUAUAUUCUCUAGAGACAUAAUAGAUAAUAAUAUAACCAGAAAUCCCUCUCUUAGAACACACAUCCAAUUUGGAGGUGGUUCAGAACAAAACUUAUUAAGGCAAAAUGAAUGGUAGGUAAACAGUGAAAACUGCUGCAGAAUAAUGAAAUCAUGCAUGGAGUACGGGAGACUCAAAAAGUUCAUAAAAUACCCAAUGUCACAGGACUGUUUUUCAGAGGACUCCAAUCUUUUACAGGGCUCCAAUCAAGUGGCUACAGGUUUGUAAACUGGUUUAUUUCCUUAUAAACCUUUUAGUAUGUCUAAAAUUGAGAGAACCAAUGCCCUCAGUGCCACUGAAGAUAUGAUGGAACUGGAACCCUCAUACACUGCUCAUGGGACUAGAGAAGAGUUUGAACAUUUCAUUUAAAAGUUAAUCAUAUACCUAGCACGUGAGUAGGUGUUUUUCUAAAGAAAAUGAAUGUAUAUAUUUAUGCAUAGAUUUAUUCGAGGAUGUUCAUAAGAGCAUUAUUUAAUAGCCAGAAGCUGGAAAUAGCCCAGGUGUUCAUCAAUGGACUUAUUUUAUUAAGUGAAUGUAUUUCCUCUAAGCACAAGAAAAUAUACUUAGUAUUUUGUAAUAUCUUAUCAGGGAAAUGUAUCUGAGAAAAAAAUACAUAUGUGUGUGUGUAUAAUGGAAUCAUUUUAUUGUAUGCUUGAAACAAACACAACAUUGUAAAUGAACUAUAUACUUCAAUUAAAAAUAAAGUCAAAUGAAAGUAAAAAAAAGAACAGAAACAGGUUAAAAAUUAAAAAUAAAUGAUUAAAAAUUUUAAAAGAAGAAAGAAACUUUUAAAAGGUGAAUGGAGAGGCAUGAGAUUAAAAAUGGCUGUAAGCAAGAGAGGAGGCAAGAUGGUGGAAGAGUAGGGGGACAUGCUUGCCCUCUCCCACAUACGUAACAAAAAAAACAUCUACAUGUAAAAUGACUCACAGAGAACAACAACUGAAUGCUGGCAGAAGAACCUAAACCUCCAAAAAAUAGCAAGAAUCUCUUGACAUAAGAAAAGACGAGAGAGAAGGGAAUCAGGACUGGACUGGCACUCCCAAGAGGGAGCUGAGAAGGAGAAAGGGAACCCAAACCCUGGAAAGUCACCUAACCAUCAGAAAGAUCAACCAAGUUGGAGGGAUAUCCUGAUGCCAAGAAAAGCACAGCAGCAGGUCUGAGAUCUGAAAAGCAGAGUGAGAACCACAAAGAUCAUCUGAACCACUGGCACAGACACCAAAAACUGAGAUGCUCAGGUGGGGGCUGGGUACCAAGACCAAGGCUCUUGAGGUUAGUCCCUGGGAGCGGGCUUGUGUUGUUGGUGUGGAGACAGCCUGAGAGACUAGGAAGUGGUGCGUUGCAGGUAGAGAGCAAUAGCUAAGGGCUGGGGAGUGGAAAGCCACAACAGAUGGAACCAGGGAGAAGGUCUGAACCCACUGUAGACACAAGGCACCAGUGUGGGUAGGGGAGAGGAGGAGGGGUGGGCUGCCAUAGAAUACACCUUAGGCUCCAGUUGCAUGCCUGCCUGCCAGUUAGCAGACAGCAGACCUUCCCAGUGCAUUCCCCCGCCUCCACUCAACAUUCACCUGGCCAGAAGCUGCCUGCCAUCCCAGUGGACUGGCCUCACCAUUUGCGGGAAGCCAACAACCACUGAGGAUUUCACCAGCUCAGCCUGCCCACACAGAGGAAGCACCCCACAACCCAUGGAGCAAGCUGCCCAAAACUGCUUCCACUCAGGAAGACCUCUGCAGCCCAGGAGCACCAGGACAAACCUUGUCCAGCCAUGGGAAGUGUUCCUCCACCACAGCACAUGCCUGCCAGUCCUGCCUGCCCUCAGGAAGUGCUCCUUUGCCUGGGAGUGAGCCAGGUAGACCCGCCUGCCCUCUGGAAGUGCUGCACUUCUGUGGAGCAUGCUGGCCAGCACUGCCUGAUCUCAGGAAGAGCUCUGAAGCCCAGGAGCACAAGGGAAAGCCCUGCCUGGCCACUGGAAGUGCACCUCCACUGCGGUGCACACCUGCCAGUCAUACCCAUCCUUGGGAAGUGCUCCUUUGCUUCAGAGUAACCCUGCUAGCCCCACCCACCCUGGGGAAGCACCCUCUGCCACGGAGUGGGAGUGACAUGGCUAGCCUUGCACACACUUGGGAAAAGCCCUGCUGCUUCAAAGAAGGCCAGAAAACAACACCUUCCCUCAGGAAUCCCUCCCCAGCAGCAUCAGUGCAAACCAUGCAAGGCCAUAGGGAGUGCACCUUCUCCACAAAAAAGAAAAACACAAACAAGAUGAAGAAGCUCAGAAACCAUUCCCAGUUAAAGCAACCAGAGAACUCACCUAAAGCAGUCAACAGUGAAACAGACCUCUGCAGUCUGAUAGACUUGGAGUUCAAAAGGGAGACAGUGAAAAUACUGAAGGAAUUAAGAGAAUAUAUGAACAGUAACACAGAUUCCCUCAGAAAGGAACUAGGAAAUAUGAGGAGGAGCCAAGAAAAUAUAUAAAAUUCAUUUGCAGAGACACAAACUGAUCUAAGGGCACUAAAAAAACAGAAUGAAUAAUACAGAGGAAUGAAUUAAUGAUGUGGAAGAUAGAAUAAUGGAAGUCACCCAAAUAGGACAACAGGCAGACAGAAAACCAAAUGAAAAAACAUGAAAACAAAAUAAGAGACCUAUAGGAUAAUAUAAAGCUGGCCAAUCUAUGCAUAAUAGGAAUUCCAGAAGGAGAAGAAAAAGAAAAGGGUAUUGAAAAUAUAAUUGAAGAAAUUAUCACUGGAAACAUUCCAAAUUUAAAAGAUACUUAUUUCAAGAUACAGGAAGUACAGAGGGCCCCAAACAAAUUGAACUCAAAUAGACUCACACCAAGACAUAUAUUACUAAAAAUGGUAAAAGUUAAUGAUAAAAAGAGGAUCCCAAAAUAAGCAAGAGAAAAGCAAAAUAUCAAUUACAAGGGACUCCCAUAAGGCUAUCAGCUGAUUUCUCUACAAAAACUCUACAGGCCAUAGGGGAAUGGCAAGAGAUACUUAAAGACCUGAAGAGAAAAAAUAUGCAACCUAUAAUACUCUAUCCAGCAAGAAUGUCAUUUAAAAUACAAGGGGAAAUAAAAAAACUUCACCAACAAACAAAAGCCAAAAGACUAUACCAAUACCAAACCCAUUCUAAAAGAAAUACUGAAAGGGAUUCCCUAAAUAAAAAAA
rnacentral:lncRNA from 1 species